CAAACGAAACCCAAUACCUAGUUGUCAGUGAGCGGAGCAAAUUUCCAUUGAUGCCCUCAUGGGUUCUUCCGAGCCUUUCAACAGUCCCCUAAGUUCCCGGAGAAAUGGCAUCGCUCCGCAGUAACAAUAUGCCUGCCUUCAAUGUACUUCUAUAGACUGUCUCCAGUCAUGACAGGCUACCAAGAACCUCUGACUUCAAUACUUCAACACUCCUGUUUGAUGGCCGUAUCUCAAGAAUUUGCUGCUAAGGUCGCUCUAGUCUUCAAUGG